CUGGGAGUCAGAGGUAUUAAGUAAUUUGUCCAAAGUUAUCAUUUAUAUAAUAUUUAUUUGCCUUUUUAUUGUCCAGAAGAAAAUUUUUCUUUGGGGGAGAUUGUGUUUCUUCUAUCCCAAACAUGUGGUUGUGGUAGAGUGGAGGCUAAUCAAAAUUCUCGUGUCCUUUGGCCACAGAGUCAGGCAUUUGUACCAGAAAGGGCCGAUCAUCAUGCCUUUGGUCCUGUGGCUUACUGUACGUUUCUGUCAUGGUUGGCCAUGUGAUCCAGGCUUGUCCAGGCUGUGGCAUUUUCUGGAAGAAUUUCAACUGAAGCACCAGGGAAACUCUUUUCUCUCUGUCCUUGUAGCUUGAAGAAAGUAUUUUUAUCAUUGUGUUUGGCCAUGGAUUGAACUUACAGUAACAGCUAGCCUGAGAGAAUGAAGCCAACCAGAGGAAGCAGAGCUGGUAGCCUCUGGGAGGAGAGCAAGAGUGGAUGGAGGGAAGAGAGAGAAGAAACUGAUGAGGUUUGAGUCUCUGGAUCCAGUCAAAAAAAUACUGAUUGAGCAGCUAGAGUCAGGAUGCAAACCCAGAUCUGGCUGACCCUACAAUCUUGAGCUUCCUUCCCAACCUUCCUUGGAGACAACCUCUGCUAAUGGAUGAACCUGAUCCUUAUUUAUUGCUUCUAGGGUAAUAUUCAUCUUAAGUUUUAAAAAACUGACAUGUCCUGAAGGAUCAGAAGACAAACUGAACACAUCUGCAAUUAUCUGGAUUUAGCCCCGAUGGUUUUAUGCAAAAACUCUGAAUGCAUUUAAGGUUUAUGUAUUGUGAAGGCGCUACUGAAAUUGGCCAAAAUUACCAUCACAAAGCGCAGCUUUUGUACGUUUGGCGUUGCAUUCUGAUCUCUGACCUGUAGUAACAGCAUUCAGAUGUGGUGAUCUACACAUGGACAGACUUUUCUUUUUAUUGACAGGAGGGAUGGAGUUUCUUGAACAACUGUGCUCAGGCUGAAACAACUGCUGAGUUCCACCAGG